rnacentral:rRNA from 4 species
UUGACCUCGGAUCAGGUAGGAAUACCCGCUGAACUUAAGCAUAUCAAUAAGCGGAGGAAAAGAAACCAACAGGGAUUGCCCUAGUAACGGCGAGUGAAGCGGCAACAGCUCAAAUUUGAAAUCUGGCCCUCGGGUCCGAGUUGUAAUUUGUAGAGGAUGCUUUUGGCGCGGUGCCUUCCGAGUUCCCUGGAACGGGACGCCAUAGAGGGUGAGAGCCCCGUCUGGUUGGA